AGAUAUUAUCUUUGCAAGAACACAAUUGUUGAAAGGAUCUGCUUUCUUGUUACAAUCUUUGAACUUCGGUCCAAACUCCGGCAAACUUUCAGUGCAAACUCCUUCGCGUAAAGUCUUGUUGAUCGUCGCCGGGAAUUCUUCAAUCGUCUUUAAUACAUCGGGUUUCAGUCUCAUUUGCUUUGUUGAACCAAUCUGAUUAUGUACGAUUGCUGAUUCAGGAUCAUCAACUUUUUAUUCUUAAUUCCUCGGUCAAAACAUCAAUUGGGAAGAUUUCUAUUCGAGUUCUCUUUGAAGCUGCCAUUAUUGCUUCCCCUUGUUCGUUUUCAAUCUAGAUUCAAUUCAAGAUCUCCCUAAAGCUACCAUUAUUGCUUCCCUUUGUAC
rnacentral:lncRNA from 1 species